GCCCAGAUGGUGAAAUUUGGUAGACACGCUAGUUUCAGGUACUAGUGCCGCAAGGUAUGGGGGUUCGAGUCCCCCUUUGGGCA
rnacentral:tRNA from 1 species